UUUUAAGUAUUGUCUAUCUUUAUUAGCGUUUGGUAAGCAAGUAAUAACACCUCUGUUUACAGUGUCCGAUAGCUUUUCUUCCACAAAACUUCUGAAAUAAACCUAAAAAUCCAUUUUCCUAUAUCUUUAAAAAAAACCUU